rnacentral:rRNA from 1 species
CAGUCGCCGCGGUAAUGCAGAGGUCUCAAGCGUUGUUCGGAUUCAUUGGGCGUAAAGGGUGCGUAGGUGGCUUGGUAAGUUGAAGGUGAAAUCUCGGGGCUUAACUCCGAAACUGCCUUCAAUACUGCUGAGCUCGAGGAUUGUAGAGGAGAAUGGAAUUCACGGUGUAGCAGUGAAAUGCGUAGAGAUGUGGAGGAACACCAGUGGCGAAGGCGACUCUCUGGUCUGUAACUGACGCUGAGGAGCGAAAGCGUGGGGAGCGAACAGGAUUAGAUACCCCGGUAGUCCCUGUCUCUUAUAC